UUCUUCUGAUAAAAAUAAUGAAGCUCCGCACUUUCACUUAAAAUCUGAAGGACCUGCUAUAGUGUGGAAAAUUUUACUGGAGGAGGGUGUGUGUUCCAUAAAGUUGAUGGAUGUGGGCAGAAAUAUAGGGAUCUGUUAGAUAGGGAAACUAUAGAGCUGAGAGGUAGGAGUCGAGGUGGAUAGUGGCAAAUACAGUGGGUGGGCAAGACAGAGAGUGAGAAAUAGUACAUUGUGUGGGUAGGGUGGUGGUUGCAUGAGGAAAGGAAUGGAGAUGGGUGGAGAGAGAGAAGGAGAGAUGUGCCCUGAUGUAGAGUGGAUAGGUGGGGAAGUGUUAAAUUGGUAGAGGGGAUAAAUAUUGGAGCAGGUCUCAUUGUUUUGGAGAGGGAGUCCGUAGAAGUUGCAUUGGGUUAGGAUAUGGAAUGUGUCUAGGAGUAGGGAUAGAGGGAUGUAUCUGUGAAGACGAUAAUGGGAUGAUUGACAGCUGGUUUGUGAAUAGUUUAGGAGAUGAGGUGGUGUCCGAUGUGAGUGAAGAGGUGUGGGAUUUUUGAUGGGAGGGUAAAGGAUCCCGGUCAGGGAAGGUAAAUUGAUUCAGAAAGUGAGAUGAACAGAAUGGCAUUCGAGGAUUCGCAGAAUUUUGAUGGGGGAGAUUCAUGAAACCUUUGCAUAGUAGAGGAUGGGUCAGAUCAGGACUUUGUAGGUUUGGCGACUAGUGGAGAGGUAUAAUCCUCAAGUUGGCCUGUUAGUAGUUUUUGUAGUUUUCGUCUGUUGUGGGUUUUCUGUAGGAUGGUUAGUGGGUUUGUAGUUUUCGUCUGUUGUGGGUUUUCUGUUGGAUGGUUAGUGGGUAAUGUCUUCACCUCAGUUGCUGGUCGAGGGUUAGUGUGGUAGUUAAGUGGAUAGGACAGUCGUAAAUGGUAAGGUAGGAGUCAUGGAGGCGGAAGGUGUGUGUCGUUUGUACUAUAAUUAUUGCCUGGGUUUUGGAGGGGUUGAUCUUGAGGAGCCAUUGUUUACAUCAGCAGGGAACGUGAACUGAUUGAGAUGGCUGGGUAAGGGUGGUUUGGUCAUUUCAGUAGUGUAGAGGAGAUAAAGGGAAGAAGAGAGAACAGACCCUUGGAGCACUACUGCAGUGGAAUGGAGGGUACACGAAUUGGUAUUAUUAACAGUGACAAAGAAUGGGCGAUUAAGUAGGAAGGAUGCAAUAAAUUGGACAUGAUUCAUUUGACAGCCUUAAGUCUAAAGUUUUAAAACGAGACCUGAAUACCAUAUACGAUUCUAGGCUUUUUCUGCCGAGGAAGACAAAUAUAGCAGAUUUACUGAAGUGGAGUUGGUGGGGCAAGAGAUGGGUGAAGUGCAGGAGCUGGUCAUCAGAGGAGAAAGUGGGACAGAAGCCACACUAAUAAACAGGAAGAAAGUGACGUUAGUUCAAGUGUUGAUGGAUGCACUGGGAAAGGAUGGCAUCGAAGACAUUGCUAAAUACUGAGGUGAGGCGGAUGGGGCGGUAGGAGAAUGUAUCAAUAAGGGGUUUGUGGGAUUUGAGGAAAAGUAGGAUUUAUGAUGUUUUCCAUUGUUGAGGGUAGUAACCUGUGAGCAGGAUAAUGACGUAAAGGGGUGGAAGGGUGAGGAGAAAGGAGGGGGGAAUUCUCUGAUACGUCUUUAAGUAAUGCAGUGAUGACUGGGGGAAGUGCUGCGUUUUUUGUGAAGUACUUGUUUUAUGUUACGUUCUGUAAUUGGUGUGCUUAAUUCUAUUUAUAGUAACGUAACAGUAAAUAUCCUCGGAAUAGUGAAGCAACUUAAAUCACUUAAUAAAAGCAAGUCUUCUGGUCCAGACUGUAUACCAAUUAGGUUCCUUCUGGAGUAUGCUGAUGCAUUAGCUCCAUACUUAACAAUGGUAUACAACCGUUUGGUCUACGAAAGAUCCGUACCCAAAGACUGGAAAGUUGCACGGGUCACACCAACAAGAAAGGUAGUAGGAGUAAUCCACUAAAUUACAAGCACAUAUCGUUAACGUCGAUAUACAACAGGAUUUUAGAACAUGUAUUGUGUUCGAACAUUAUGAAUUACCUAGAAGAAAACGGUCUAUUGGCACACAGUCAACAUGGGUUUAGAAAUCAUCGUUCCUGUGAAACACAACUAGCUCUUUAUUCACAUGAAAUGUUGAGUGCUAUUGACGAUUUCAGAUCGAUUCCGUACUUAUGGAUUUCCGGAAAGCUUUUGGCACUGUGCCACACAAACGGCUCGUAGUGAAAUUGCGUACUUAUGGAAUAUCGUCUCAGUUAUGUGACUGGAUUUGUGAUUUCCUGUCAGAGAGGUCACAGUUCGUAGUAACAGACGGAAAGCCAUCGAGUAAAACAGAAGUGAUUUCUGGCAUUCCCCAAGGUAGUGUUAUAGGCCCUAUGCUGUUCCUUAUCUAUACAAACCAUUUUGGAGACAAUCUGAGCAGCUGUCUUAGGUUGUUUGCAGAUGACGAUGUUGCUUAUCGACUAAUAAAGUCAUCAGAAGAUAAAAACAAACUGCAGAACGAUUUAGAAAAGAUAUCUGAAUGGUGCUAAAAGUAGCAGGUGACCCUAAAUAACGAAAAGUGUGAGGUCAUCCACAUGAGUGCUAAAAGGAACUCGUUAAACUUCGGUUACGUUACACGAUAAAUCAGUCUAAUGUAAACCCGUAAAUUCAACUAAAUACCUAGGUAUUACAAUUACGAACAACUUCAAUUGGAAGGAACACACAGAAAAUGUUGUGGGGAAGGCUAACAAAAGAUUGCGUUUUAUUGGCAGUACACUUAGAAAAUGUAACAGACCUAUUAAGGAGACUGCUUACACGACGCUUGUCCGUCCUCUUUUAGAAUACUGCUGCGCGCUGUGAGAUCGUUACCAGAUAGGACUGACGGAGUACUUCGAAAAAGUUCAGAGAAAGGCAACUCGUUUUAUAUUAUCGCGAAAUAUGGGAGAGAUUGUGACAGAAAUGAUGCAGGCUGGAAAUCAUUAAAAGGAAGGCGUUUUUCGUUGCGACGGAAUCUUCUCACGAAAUUUCAAUCACCAACUUUCUUCUCCGAAUCCGAAAAUAUUUUGUUGACACCGACCUACAUAGGGAGGAACUAUCACCACGAUAAAAUAAGGAAAAUCAGAGCUCGUACGGGAAUAUAUAGGUGUUCAUUCUUUCCGCGCGCUGUACGAGAUUGGUAUAAUAGAGAAUUGUGACGAUGGUUUGAUGAACCCUCUGUCAGGCACUUGAAUGUGAUUUGCAGAGUAUCCAUGUAGAUGUAGAUGUAGAUGUAUGUUGUCCAAGUACUGCAAGCUGCGACCCAGGGGUGGGACACCGGUAUUUGUAUCUUUCUGGGUGGUAGGGGAAGGUAAGUAAUCAAAAUAUGGGUCAUCAUGGAUGGAGAAGAUGUCAGACAGAUAGGAUGCAAAACUGUUACCUAGCUUUGCUCAUAUUGUCAGAUAAGGGACGGUUGUGACAGAGAUGUGAGUAGUGGGGUAUGGAGUUGUUGGCGGUGAGCCAGUGGAAUGCUUUUCAGUAUUUGGAAGAGUUAAUGGGAAGUUUAGCAUUGAGCUUGGUGCAUGUCUGGCGCUAGUCCCAGGGUUUUUUUGUGGUUAAUAAGUUCCUGAUACGGUUAUAUAUUUGCUGGUCGUGUAUGAGUGUAUCCUGGUUAUGAGUCUGCAAGAAGGAAUGGCACAUAUCACAUGAUUCUCGUAGGAGUAGUAGAGCUUGUGGGGGAAUGGUGGGGUGCUGAGUAUGUAUAUCGUCUUAGUAGGAAUGUGGAUGGAUAUGGUGUCUGAAAAGGCCUGGUGCAGAAAGAAUGUAGCAUGAGGGAUAUGGUCAGGCUGCUGGAAGGACAGGGGGUGGUUUCCAGUUUGGGUUUCUGUGGAUUCCUUGUUGGCAUUCCAGUUGGCACGUUUGUAGUCUUGGAUAAAUCAUGGAAAGAGACUGGAAUAGGGUGCAAAGGAAGAGUUUGUGUGAAGGAGAUGGUGAGGAGUGCAGGUAGAUGGUCACUUCCAAUUAGAUCGGAUACUUCUAACAAGGAGGUUGAGAGAUGCUAGGAUGACACUGGACUGGUGUUCCUUUCAGAAUCGGUGUAGUGUGGGAUGGGAACAAUGUCACCUAGGAGGGAGUCUGUAAACAGAUGCCACAGCUGAAGUGGGAGAUCUGCUAUCACUGUUGACACUUGCAGAAAUAGCAUAGGUGGGAAAUGUACGAUCUGCGUGAGUAAGGGAUUCAUAGGGGAUGGGGUGAUUAGGUAAGAUGUAGAUGGUGACACAGGUAAGGUUAGGGUCUGGAAAAAGAGUAACGAUUAGGGGUUUGGUGGGAGUAUUUAUUAGGAUUGUGGCCAAACGGGUAUGUUCUUGUUGUGGCCAAUUGGAACUCCACCUCUGACCAGCGAAAGGACAUUAUCAGUGCAGUGGAGGAUAUACAGACAGGUUCAGAAGGUGUGACAGGGUUGGAGAAACGUUUCAUUAAGCAUAAAUUUAUUGACGCUGUGUUGGCAUAGGACAUUCAUCAACAGAAGUUUACUGAUGAGGGGAGAGCGCAGGUUGUGGUACAAGAUUUUGUAGGCCUGUCGCGCCAACAUAAGGGAUAAAUUUGGUUUGUGCGGCAUGAGGAAGUUAAGUCACAAGUUAGUGGCUCGUUAGGUGAAGAUGAUGUGAAGCUGUUUGUGGGAGUAGGUAACUUAUGGAAAAUGGACUGGGCAGCAAGGAAAAUUUGUUGGAAGCUAUUUGGACAUUGAAAUAGAUGUACGUUUUGGAGGACGAUUUGAUAAUAACUUCAGGUUUGGUAGCUGAAUUGAGAGAAUUGUUGGGGUCAAUGGGGGUAUGAGUGGAACAUACUGAAACAGCGAGCUCAUAUUUGGUAGGUUGUGACUUAGCUUUGCAUUUUGCAGAGUAAGUGGGGUGGGAGACAUUGUAGGUGUCGCAGAUAGGACACUGUAAGAAAAUGGGAGACUUUGCAGUGUUAGCAGGUAGAUGGAUUUUUACAAUCUGCAGCAAGGUGGACAUUGUCACGAAGACGUUUUUGGCAGCUUUAGGAAUGGGGCUGGAAUUUUGAAGGUUAAACUUGUGGCGGUGCUGGUAAAUCAGGGCUUCGUCAUUUUGAAAAGGUGUAAGGUGGCAGAAGAUUCAGAAAAGGCACAAAGGAGGCGAGUGGAAGAAGGUCAUUAUUGAUCAGAAAGGGCUUCUCGAACUUCUAAAUCUGGGUGGAUGUUCAAUUCAGAUGCCACUUCCCCGUUUGUGAUUUCAAGUUCGGCCUUUGUGAGUGGUGCAGUGGUGGGGAGGUUGAGGUUGUCAUAUACUUGCUGAAGAACACGAACUGCAUCAUGAGUUAUUAAAUCUGGUCCAGAAUAUCAUAUCUUGAAGAUCUUAGAAAUGUUGCUUCAGAAGAUGAGCCACAGGAAAUAUUAAUUAAAACAAUUGCUUUACGAGCGCGCGCGCGCACACACACACACACACACACACACACACACACACACACACACACACAGGCAGUUUAAAACUACUCGAAAUAAAAGAAACGACACUGCACAGUAAAUUGCGUGGGCAAACAAUAGUGUUAUGCUUUGACAUUUUAAUAAAUAACCGAAACCUGCAGUUGUAUGACACCAUGACUGGAAGUGAUGUGGAUUCGGCGUGGCGUUGUAUACGUUCUGACGUAGGGAAAUCCACUCCACCAUCAAUCAAAACAAAGAAGAGGAAACGCGCAUUUUCGAAAGAAUAUCUACAUUUUAAUUAUAUAUUAUGUUACUUUAUAAAGAAAUUUUAAAUUAGUGUAAAUUUUUCGCUUCAUGGACCACUCAAAAAAGAUUAUUCAUAUGUGAUUACCUUAAAAGUUGUUUUAUUAAAAAGAAUAUUCGCCAUUAACAUAUACGGUGAAAUAAUACAGAUGCACAAUUGUUAUAGGUAGAGGGCACUUUUUACUGUUACCAAUCAGGUUACUCUUAAAAACUGCGAUAUAAGGUUUUAACAGAUUAAAAGUUACUUUACUUAUGACAGCGAACCGAGUAUUCUGUGCGGACAAGUUACUCUGUAACUGUAAUAUAUGGUAUGUUGGCAUUUAAUACGCUCCAAAAUUUCUUUUUGUAAACUAAGAAUUUCUAUCACUAACUGCAUCUCUCUUAUUAAUUAUAGCUAUUUUUAACUUUGUCUAACACAUCUGAAGAUGGGCAGCUAGCCUGAAACCGGUAACUGAAAAUAAAGAAUGGCGAUCGAAGACUGAAACGCCAUAUUUUAUUUAAUGAACGGUCGCUGAAUUCCUAUUGAGACAAUCAUGUCAAGUUUUGAUAGAAAUGUCCUAAUUUGUCAUACAGAAAUUGUGGCAACCCUAGAUACAUAGAAAGGUGAACGUAUAGUUAUCGCGAAAUUGGGGCGAGCAUAAACUUUACUUAAUGCCACGUUGGAUUUUAUGCGGCAGCAAACGCCUGACAACCAGCAGGACUCAGGCAGUGCUCGCAGACUGGCACGGACUUGUCCACCGAUACCGGCCUGCUCAGGCUGUCCGGCAGGUUGGCUCGGCUGCAUUCCUGUUGGCGCCUCGGCGGAAGUGCUGGGGGGUGAGGGGGUCGAGCAUACAUAAAGGCCACCCCAUCCCUAGGCGGCUUCAUUAUUUCGUCAGGCACCAUUGUGUGUAGUCGAUUGUCUAGUUCUCGCUUGUCUGUGUUAGUCGUUAGUCGUUAGUUUGGUUCAUCUAACACGACGCGAUCGGCGGCAUCGAGCUCCAUCGGUGUGCCAGGGGCAGAAAACGGCACAGACUGUUAGAGCAGGGUGGAAAAUUACCUGGUAAGUGCAGAUUCAACUGUAACUUCUGUCUUGCAGUAAGAAUUUCGUAGUAUGGAAUUAAUUCCUUCUUAUUGCUUCAGUGCAUAUAUAACGAUACCAAAUCGUGAAUGAGAUGUAUACUGAGAUGCAGCAAACAGCAGAGACAGCGGCAGCAGCUGCAGCAGCGGCAUCGGCGGCAGUGUAAGUACGUAUGCCAUCUUUGUAGUACUGGUGAGACCAGCGAGUCUGUAGAGGUAUCAAAAUAACUGUGAACUUUUUUAACUGAGAAUGUCGUACUGAAUACAUGCCUUAUUGUUUCGGCGUGUGUGAAAUGGAUAAUAGAAGAGGCUGAGGGGCAGCAGCUGCAGCUGUAUCAACAUCUGUGGCAGCAAUAUCAUCGUAAGUAGUGUACAUAUUUCUCAUCGUAUGUGUAAUUUGUUGUGACAACGAGCCUGUGGUUGUUCCACGUGAUCUUUAAAUGUUACUUUUUCGCUAAGAAUUUCAUACUGUUGCAGUAUAUGGCGUGCAUACGUAGUUUCUUUCUAAAAAUUUCAUCCUUUACUUUAUAUAUUGUUGUUGUAGUACAUGUUUUCGAGGAUCAAAAUAGAUAAAACGUUACUUCCUUUCUUUUCACCAAGAGUUUCGUAUUGUUUGUGUACAUAUAUCCAUUAAUUUUUUCAUCUCCAUGGCAUUGUGUACUCAUAAUUAAAUUUCAUCGUAUAUGUAACACGGCGCAUAUUAUUUAUUACAGAUGAUUUCCUGGCAGACGAAGAAGGGGGAGGGAGAGGUUUGUGCUGCAGAUACGUAGGAGCCAUCGCAAAUUCCCUGCUGCAGGUGACAUCAGUGAGACGAAUUGAUGGACGCUACGCAGUUCAGGAAAGGGAGAAAUGCCACAGUGGGUGGAGGAGAUGCAUUGCGAUCUUCGUCGUGAGGAGAUGAGGGAGAUGCCGAGGAGCCACAGCGAAAUAGGUUGCAGUCACUGCCAGCUCGGACUACUGCUGUAAUCAAUCCCAUCAACGCUCAGUUUGAGUCAGAGCAUUCUGUGUGAAGGUGGGAGUGUGCAGCAGCUUGUUGACACUUACCCUUUUUCACCUACCAUCAGCAUGGAGCUCUGUCUGAUUGAGGAACAGUGUGUCAACAUCAAGUUUCUUGCAAAGGUAUGCAAAACUGGCCGUGAGAUUUUUAAGGGUUUGAAACAGGUUUACGGAUACAAUUCUCUAAAGGAACCAACCGUGAACAAGUGGUUAAAAAGGUUCUGGGAUGGCCGAGAAGAAGUAACGAUGACCCUUGCCCAGGAUGCCCGUCGACAUCGAGUGCUGAUGCAAAUGUUGAACGAAAUCAGGCUUGUGUUCUUAAAGACCGUAGAUUCACAGUAAGAAUGAUUGCUGAUGAGCUGUCAAUCACCAAAACAAUCGUUCAUGAAAUCCUGACACAAAAACUUGAAAUUAAGAAAUUGUGUGCAUCAAUCAUACCGAAGCUCUUGACGCCAGAUCAGAAAGCAAAGAGGGUCGAGUGCUGUGAGGAUUGGUUGGAAGCAGAGGAAUGAGGGGACUUUCUCAACUCAGUCAUCACUGGAGACGAGCCCUGGUUUUACGGAUUUGACGUGGAGCUCAAAUCCCAAAGCAAGGAAUGGAAACUAGCAGGAGAACCGAGAACAAUAAAAGUCGCGAGUCCAAUUUGAAGACAAUGUUGAUACUUUUCUUUGAGUCUAGGGCCAUUGAUCACAUGGAAUUUGUCCCUCCUGGCAAGAGAGUGAACAGAAAUUUUUACAUUGAAGUUCUGACACAUCUCAGAGCUCGUGUGGCCCGAGUUCGACCGGAGUUGGCAAAAGGGGGCAGGUGGAUCCUUCAUCACGAAAAUGCGCCCCCACUCGCACGUUGCUCAUUGUGCGCGAGUUUUUAGCCCGAAGGUCAAUAACCGUGACCGACCACCCACCUUAUUCACCCGAUUUAGCCCUGUGUGACUUCUUCAUGUUCCCAAAAUGCAAAAUGGCGCUUCGGGGGCGGCACUUGGGAGAUGUGGAAACGACACGGCAGCUGAACAACAUCCCAACUGAAGACUUUCAGCAAUGUUAUCAACAGUGGAAACGGCAUUGGCAGAAGUGUAUCACAUCUCAGGGCAAGUACUAUGAAGGAGACCAUAUUGUAAUACCUGAAUAAUUGUAAAAUAAAGUUAUUAUUCAACUUUUAUACAUACUUUCUGGACAAACCUCGUGGAUUAGCAAAUGAGACACUGAAGAUAAUAGAAGUGUUUUGUUAUUUGGGUAACAAAAUUAUUGAUGAUGGCUGACACAGAGAGGAUAUAAAAUGCAGGCUCGACUGUCUGAUGGACAGAAUAUCUGAAAAAGAGGAAUAUGUUAGGAGUGGAUAUAAAUUUAAAUGUUAAGGAGUCUUUUCUGGAGGUAUCUGCCUGAAGUGUAGCCUUGCUCCAAAACGAGAUGUGAACAACAAGCAGUUCAACUAGAAAAGGAUGGUAUCUUUCGAAAUGUGUUUCUAGGAAGAAAUUUUGACGAUUACGUCGAUAAAACAUAAAGGUAAACUGUGUCCAUCGGUACUGGCCGACCACCGUGUCAUCGUCCCGCACACCACUAUCCUGCCUGUGUCAGUUUUCUUGACCUUCGAGACCUGCUUGCUUCAGUAGCUUCUCAUUUGGCAUCACAAUGGUGAAUGUACACCGUUCCAGUCCUCUCACCUAGAAAAAAAAUCCCUGGCAGUACCGGGAAUCUAAACCUGUGUCCUCCCCAUGAUAGGCAGCAGCAGUGAACAAAGUUACGGAGGUGGAUAGAUGACUAUGACUGCUACUAGAUACCCUCUGCGAUGCACCUAGAGGUGGCUUAUGGAAUAAUUAUGCAGUUGCAGAUCAAAUUACUAAGAAAAUGGUACUGAAUGAAAUUGAGGAGAAAAGAAAUUUUCAACACAACUUGACUAAAAGAAGGAACAGGUUGAUAAGACAUACCCUGAUGCAUCAAGGAAUCAUCAAUUUGGUAUUGGUGGGAUUUCAGUGAGGGGAGGAAAAACUGUUGAGUGGGAAAUACAGUAAUACAGUAAGCAGGUUCAAAUGGAUGUAUGCUUGUGUAUGAUAGACUAACAUUGAGAGCUGCAUGAAACCAGUCUUUGGACUGAAGACCUCAACAAAAACAGUUGGCUGUAUGUAGGAAUUUCCUGUGGUCAGGAAAGCAAUGAGAAAGGAUUUUCUGAUAAAGAAAACUGCAAAUACUAUACAUUAAUGUGGUGUAAAAUGUUUCUUGAUCUGUUUAUGAAGCCACAGAAAUCAUAUAUUAGUUCUUUUGGCAUAAAAAACCUGUACAGGAUGAUUAAUCUACCCAUACCGAUGGGUUUUAUGCAACUUGCAAUGCCUACAAAUGUCAUGGGCAACAUUUUCAUUUCUCUCACCCACUACAUGCAAAUUACUAGUCCUACAUAAAAAAAAUGAACAGGAUCUUUUUUGUGGGAAAUUUAAUGUAGCCUUUUUUUUGGGGGGGGGGGGGGGGGGGGUUGGGCUACAUUUUUGUUAGAGGCCCAAAUGCAUUUUUCUUGAAUAACACAAAAACUGUAGUCUCCAACAAAAACUUAUUCCAGUUCAAAAUUUAAUGUAGUUAAUUUUCAUACAAAAAGGUCCUGUUCAUUGUUUUCAUAGGCCUAACAAUGUGCAUGUAGGGAGGAGAGAAGAUUAAAAUCAUGGGUGUGUUUCUUGAAGAUGUUGCAGGUUCCAUAAAACUUUAUGGCAGGGGCAGCCGAAUAACCCUGUGUAUGAUCCGGAUGAUUCAACAACAUGCUUAAUACACCUCAUGGUCAAACAUGGCUGCUGAUAGAAAAUAGGUAGUUCAUAUUGGCUUUGUGUAUCCCCAUUAUGUGACUGAAGUAAAGAAGAGGACGUGGGAUGUUCACUGUCAACUUUUAUACCCACAUUGGUAAGCCAAAACACAUUAAAAUAUACAAGGCAUGGCAGAAAAGUACCAUUGUUGGAAAAGGAUUCAUGAAAUCAUUUCUUCAGACAUAUGUCAUAGCGGUAAUCCAACUUUUCUAUGCUCUCUUCAUAGAAAGAUACCAUCAGUGAAGACAUCCAAUACUGAUCACACUUUCUUAGAUCAUCAUUGGUGUUGAAGCACCUUCAUCCUACUUGAUGAUGAAGUAAAAGUGGUAGUCAGCAGAUGUGAGAUCAGCACUGAUUGGCAGGUGGUCAAACUGUUCCCAACUGAAUUGUUUAGUAAGGUUUUCAGUGCCACCAGCACAAAUGAAAUGUGAUGUCAUGAAGCAACAUAAUAAUUCGAUUGAGAAUUUUGCAUCUUUUGUUUUGAGUAGUGUGAUGGAGUUCUCUUGGUGUUUCGCAGUAUCAUACCGCUUUCAUGAUUUCACCUUGGAGAAGGAACUCAACAAGCAGAAUGUCUUGUUAGUCAUAGAACCCGUUGCACCAGAUUUUUUGCACUGACAACUUCAUUCUAAUUUCUUUUUAUUCUGGUAGGGGGGGGGGGGGGGUUGGGUGGGGGAGGGGAGGAGGAAUAUUGUUGGAUUCUGAGUUCCGUCACUCCAUACAUUGUUGUUUUUGUUUUGGAGUGUCAUGAAAAACCCAAGUUUUAUCACCAGUCAUGAUUUUAUUUAAGAAUUCAUCUUCCUUAUUACUGUUUUCAGUGGUGAAAUGUCAAAACCCUGACAAGGUACAUGAUUUUGUAAGCAUUUUUGAAACAGAAUUCACAAAAAUUUAAGCAAUUUAUGACUGAGUCAUGCAAAACAGUUUUUGAAAUACAUUCUUAUUGUGAACCAUGCGUUUUCAUGAAUUUUUCUCACCCAUACCAUCAGUGACAACAGAAGGCUGUCCGACACAUGCUUCAUCAUGAGUGUUUCUUCAACUGUCUCACCCACUUCCUCACCAUAAAUGUCUACAAGUUGAUGAAUUUCAGCUGGCUUAAUGUUCUGUGUGUUGAAACAAAACAUAACACAGCGCACUUCACAGUCACUGGGCUCAAAGGCUGUCUUAAAGAUUUUGACUGAUCACUAACAAAUAUAAAUACCACAAAAUUUAGCUGCAGAGUCAACUGUGGAAAGACAAUGAACCAGAGAAAUGUGUGAACCUACAACACAAGUGCUGGAGUGGCAGCAGAAUGAUUUGGUACUUACUUUCAGGAUGCACCUCUUCUAUGGAAGUGCCCGUCACCUUUUAACGUAAAUUUUUGCUUAUGAUGGAAACUAUGUUGAAACAGUAUGUUUUGUUUAUCUCUCUCUAGUCAUGACAGGUAAUGUGAUUCAAGGACAGCGGUACUUUCUGACUUACCUUAGCCAAGCUCCAACUCUUCUGCCCUGUAAGCUACUUGCUUUUAUCCUCAGGUUGUUACUCCCUGGCCUGCAGCUGCUCCCAAAAAAAUUGCAUACAUUGUGUGUGUGUGUGUGUGUGUGUAACAAAAAAAAAAAAAAAAAAAAAAAAAAAAAAAAAAAAAAAAAAAGACUACAUUUACAAAGGAUUUGUGGGGGUCAGAGGAGAUAGAGAUACACUUAAUUACAUGUCACUGGUGUGAACCAUGUUGCUGAUAUGGAUCCGUUAAAGUUUUGAUGUUAGUAAUGCUCGAGAUAUGAUGUGACUAUUGGUAUAGGGGCAUUUCAGAAAAUAUCGCCUGUCUACAUUAUGGCACAACUGGAAUAUGCUUGCUCAAAACAACCAAGUGUGAAUAAUGACAAUGCAUUCAGCUGACUGGUAACCAGUGCUUCAUAUACCAUCAUCGUCUCCCCCUAUAAAAAAAAAAAGACAUUUAGAGGCAGUCACACAAAAAAAAAAGCUUCUUUUUCUCUCCUAAACACAUGAAAAGUGUGUGUAUGUAGUUUAUUGUUUUAAUACACCCUGUAUAUGAAAAGAGCUGUCACCAUUACCUAAACUGCUUACAUGGUGUUAAUUUGCACACAGAUUUCUGGCUGUUCCACUGGAAAACUUACCAAGACAUUUACAUCAUAAAGCCAAUACUCGCUUGUAACUUAAAAAUGUACACAGCUCAAAGGUAGUACAACUACAACUCUGCUGAAUUACAGUGUCUUUCAUGCAGUACAACAUUUUUAACCUCUGGGAUAAGCUACGAAAUAAUUACUCCAUGCCAUACAAAAAAACAAAACAGCCUCACUGUUAAUAUCUCUCAUAUAUGUAAUACGUAAUGGGAACAACGGAACCAACAAAAUUAAGAAAACCAUUAGCACUUUUUUAAAUUCAUCUAUCUUUUACAGAAAAGAACACUAAAUUUCAACCAUUUCGUAGGGACGUUACAACAUUAGCAAACACUGUGUUAUGAUUUGUGACCAUGCAUUAUAUAUAUUAUUGGGCACUUCAGUUCCAUGGAACACUAUUUAAUGUGCAGCUAUAUACAUGAUUAUUUUUAUUACUCAACAUGCGUAAUAUUACUUAAAGGUUAAUUUUAUCAUCAACUUACAGAAACAGUUAGGUUAAGAUACAUCGAUGUAUGCCGAUGGUUACUUUGCAGCCUGUCACUGCUACAUAGUGUUGAAACCAUAGGCUAGGUGGAAGACUCACUGGACAAAAAAUUGUUAGAACUACAUACAUACAUGAGUGAAAAGCAGUUUUGCUGGUCUCAAAAUACUUUAUUGUGCACUUCUGUUCCAAAUGACAACUUAAAUGAAACUUCACAUCUACAAUAAUUUCACCAAUAAGGUGGGCUACAAAUAGGUUGUAAUAUUCUGACCUGAGUAGCUCUUCAGCAAGUAGAGCUACAUUAUAUGUGCUACUGUUUUUACAUGAACACUAACACUAGUCAUGUUUGCAAUAGAAACAAUAAUUAGGUCCAAUACAUUUAAAAUUGUAUGCCUACAGCAAGCAACGCUACAGCCAGAAUGUACUGCUUGUUGAAAAUGAAAAUUCAUCAAAAUACUUGUAUUACACACUGAAAUUCCUUACAUCCAUUCUCUCUUGCUGCAAUAAUGCUUAAACUCACAGCCAAAGACAAUUGUACGUUGUUGUGGGGAAUUAGAAUAGCUAAUAAAUGCAACUAAAUAAUAUCUGUAUUCAUUUGAGUUUGUUUCACCAAGAUCCAGAUUAUGUUGUCACUUUUGUCCCCUUGUUCUUGCAUUAUCUGAUUGUAGUUUUCAAUUUUGGCCAGUUGAUAUAAGUCUGUCUUGUAACUCCUUCACGUUCAUUGUUAUUGGUAAUAACUUUAUUAGCUCGUAUCAUCUUUGAUGACAAUACAAAACUCGAUAAACAAAUCAAUGCAAUCUGUGCCAGCACUUAAUCAUUAAAAAAAACCUCUUUCAAAUUUUGUUUACAUUCAGUGCUAUUCAUUUUGUUCUAAGUUUCAACAUUAAAACUGUAACGUUUAAGUAUUCAGAGCAUUUGCCUCAAUUUUAUCCCAUAGAUUGCUUCUUUACUGAUGUGGGAUUUCAUAAAUUAGAAAGAGCAUCUCUCUUGAAAUAUUUACAAAUGGAAUACUGUUGAACAACGCUUAUGUACAUUUUGACACAGUUAUACAAUUGAAAAUGUUGACAGAUGUUCCUAAAAUUUCUUUUGCAACCUGAAUACUGAAACAUGUUCUAGGAACUACUUUAAAAUGUUAAAAUUCUACAAGAGGCUCUACACUGGAAGACACUCUAUUUCAUUUUUAUAUUAUUGCAGAAUGGCAGGAGCAAGACGAGGUACUUUCAGGGAACGACUGGCAAGUAGAAGUAAUUACCAAUAUUGCAGGUUCCAGUACUGACCAUGGUCCUAUUAUCAUCCAGUUGGAAACAUUCACACAAUGUUAGUCACAACAGAAGCACUUCCACUACAAUGGUUGUGACAAGUAUGCUCCUAAACCCUGUUGUUCUCAUCUACUUUCACGUGGUUUACAUUGUUCAUUGAUAAACAAUGGCAUCCCAGCAGACACUGUAGAAAUAAACUUGGUCCAAACAAGUACAGUAUAACAGAUGUCAAUGAAACGAGACUUUUUUUUUUACUUCACACAGUCACACCAGGAAUCCUCAAUACACAUUUAUGAAAGAAAUUAAGAUUACAACUUAUAAAAACUUGAGCUGUUAUCCAAAGCCACUAGAAGAAAACUUCAUUUGAGUAGUGACAAGUUAGCAAGAACCAAUACCUCAUUUCUGCUUCAGAAGAAUGUAUCUAACAAGAAGCCAAAUUUCAUCCACUCAUUUAUUACAUGGGAAAGUGUGGCUCCAUAUGUAUUUUCACUGUCCACUGGUAGUUUCCAAAGGGGAAACACAAGUCAGGGAGCAAUUUUCCAUAAGAGCUGAAAUUAAUGUGUUAAAGAGGCACAACAUAUUUUGGGGGGAAAGAAGGGAGGCUGGAGAGAUGUGUUUUACAAGGUUAUGGCAGGCCCAAUGUAUAACGUUUCUAUUUUGAUGUAGAGUUCACAUAAAGAUGUCAUUGUUCAUGAACAACACUGUGUGAACAAAGAACAGCUCUCAAGCAUACUAAACAUCAAUGACCCGCUGCCUACUGGAAUAAUGAAGGUUUCUUUAUGGACCGCAUUUUGAUCACUUGCAAGAAGCAAUCACUAGUUUAUCGUGGGCUGUAAUGAUUUCAAACGUAAUAUCUCAUUUCACCUCAUACAAUUUGUAACUUUGGCAUUUUGCUGUGAUUACUGCAUUGCUGAACAAAUCAAAGUAGUCAACAACAGUUAGCCAAGAUAUGGGACUUCUUUCCUUUUCUUUUUUUUUAUAAUACCCACCACUCUGCCUGUGUCAUGUUAAUAGAAAAUGACAAUCUUAGCAACCUUGUUAGUGGUCCGGCUGUGAGACUUGAAAGCAUUCCACUCCCAAUGCUACAUCGCUGGGUUUUGAGAGAACUGUCAGUAGGUGGCAGUGUUCUGCUUGGAAGGUCCUGAAACACACAAAGUGUGGCAAAAAUUACUAUUGGGACAGUAAUGCAUUAAGUCACUAGAAACUGCUGUCAGGUAGAACCACUGUACUGAAUAACAACCAGAAGCAUUUCUAUAAGUAUUGCAUAUGGGUGCAGCUUAUGGGAACUCUAUGAAUGUGAGUUGAAAGUCCCUUUCUUAUCUUCAGGAAUUUACACUAGAUUAUAGCACAACAGCUGUAGGGACCUAGAUUAAGUUUAUUUAGUGUAAAUACAGAAAAUGUUGCAAUUUUCUCAAUUCAUUCUUUUCAACAGAACAACCAAAGGAAACAGAAAAUCUAGCUGAGGAAAUUAAUAAAUUACACCACAAAAUUCAAUUCAAUUCACUUCACAUCACUGUAGAAAUAAAACACCAGAAAACAUUAACAAAACUUUUAUAUAAAAAUGCUCAAACUUCCACAAAGCCAACAAUUCCCAGUGUUACCAUCCGUAACUCUUCUUGCUAUCCAGAUCACAAUAGAAAAGUGUUCUUCAGAAGAAUGUUUAAUCACAUGGUUAAAGACCCAAUGGAUACAAGUGAAAGUUAAAAAUAAACACAAAUUGUAAAAUCAGCUGCCUCCAGUUAUGAAUACAAUCCCGCUGUAAUACAGAAAUUAAACCAACCAGUUUCUGGACAACCACCCACAAACAGGAAGACCAUCUUUGUAAUAAGCUGACUUUCCUCAAGGAAGAUUUCAUACCAAAUUGCCAACCUCUUCAAGUUGUAUGUCAUACAAACAAGCUUCUUCGCAAGCAACAAAAUACAGAAUAAUAUCAUCCACAGUACUGAAAACACUAAGCAAGAAUAUCAAAAGUCAGGUAUGUCCAAACUUCUGCAAUAAACAAACUGGUAGAAGCACAGGGAUGCACUCUGUCUUAACAUACAGAACAAAUCCAACUUUGCAGAAUGAGUUACUGGGCAAGAAUUGUGGCAAACAGUGUAGAAAAGAACCAGGCAAGAAAUUUGACUUUCUUGAAGGAACUCAAGUAUCUUUCAACACAGAUACAGCACCAGUCUACCUACUCAAUGACAAGUUUUGCCUUCACAAUUAUGAAGACUUGCUAUUUUAAGAAAAAAAAAAAACAAAAAAACCUGCCCCCUCUCAAUCUCUCUUUGCAUC